rnacentral:rRNA from 1 species
GAGGAAUAUUGCGCAAUGGGGGCAACCUUGACGCAGCAACGCCGCGUGAGUGAGGAAGGUUUUCGGACCGUAAAGCUCUGUCGAGCGGGAAGAAAUGUUUAUUGGUUAAUAUCCAGUAAGCUUGACGGUACCGCUAAAGGAAGCACCGGCUAACUCCGUGCCAGCAGCCGCGGUAAUACGGGGGGUGCGAGCGUUGUUCGGAAUUAUUGGGCGUAAAGAGCGUGUAGGCGGCUGAAUAAGUCAGAUGUGAAAGCCCUGGGCUUAACCCAGGAAGCGCAUUUGAAACUGUUCAGCUUGAGUAGGGGAGAGGAAAGUGGAAUUCCUGGUGUAGAGGUGAAAUUCGUAGAUAUCAGGAGGAACACCGGUGGCGAAGGCGACUUUCUGGCCCUAUACUGACGCUGAGACGCGAGAGCGUGGGUAGCAAAC